rnacentral:rRNA from 1 species
GACGAACCGUGCGAACGUUGUUCGGAUUCACUGGGCUUAAAGGGCGCGUAGGCGGGCGGUCAAGUCAGGGGUGAAAUCUUUCGGCCUAACCGGAAAAGGGCCUCUGAUACUGGCCGUCUCGAGGGAGGUAGGGGCAUGCGGAACUUCCGGUGGAGCGGUGAAAUGCGUAGAUAUCAGGAAGAACACCCGUGGCGAAGGCGGCUCUCUGGAACGCAACUGACGCUGAGACGCGAAAGCGUGGGGAGCAAACAGG